rnacentral:rRNA from 1 species
AACGCUGGCGGCGUGCUUAACACAUGCAAGUCGAACGAGAAUCUAAUGAUGGAGUUUUCGGACAACUGAUUUAGAGGACAGUGGCGGACUGGUGAGUAACGCGUAGGCAACCUGCCCUUUAGUUGGGGACAACAUCCCGAAAGGGGUGCUAAUACCGAAUGUGAUCGCUCUUCCGCAUGGAAGAGCGAUGAAAGAUGGCCUCUAUUUAUAAGCUAUCGCUAAAGGAUGGGCCUGCGUCUGAUUAGCUAGUUGGUGGGGUAACGGCCUACCAAGGCGAUGAUCAGUAGCCGGUCUGAGAGGAUGAACGGCCACAUUGGAACUGAGACACGGCCCAGACUCCUACGGGAGGCGGCAGUGGGGAAUAUUGGGCAAUGGACGCAAGUCUGACCCAGCAACGCCGCGUGAAGGAAGAAGGCUUUCGGGUUGUAAACUUCUUUUGUCAGGGAAGAGUAGAAGACGGUACCUGACGAAUAAGCCACGGCUAACUACGUG